UGAGCUGGCAUAACACAAAAUGACUUCUAAUUAUCUCUUCGCAGUGAACACUUCUAUUCGCGAGGAAAUUCUUAGGAGUGAGCAAGCAUAUUUUCUUGAUUCUGCUGUACUUGCGAAGGUUCAAUUUUUGUUGUUAAGGAAGUGUCUUUACUUACAUAGGAAGCAAUGCACAUCAGUCUAUUCUUGCACAAGAACAGAACUUUGUGAACUCGAGUGAACUACUACGAAGAAGAAAAUUAUGGAGACAAUACUCAGUAUCUACUUCAAUAUCGAUGAGCUUUGUGAUGUCAAGUGCAAAACUCUGGAGAUUGAUUUCAUUGUCAUGCAAUAUUGAAGGAUCCAGGUUUGUCG